ACCUUUUUCAUUCAUGAUUUAAAUAAGCGGAUUCUGCUUCUCUGCAGGAAUGAGACUCCAGAGAGAAGGAGUGUGGUGGAGCACCCUCUGUUGCCAAAAGCUGAGCCAGGCCUCUCAGGAUCUCCUCCUGGCGGUGUGUGUGUGUUUUACGAAGCAGCUCGGGGUGGAGGAGGGGGUCUCGAUGUGAGGGAGCGGGAGGAGACGCCGAGCUCUGAGGAGGAGGAGGAGCGUCUGACGAGGAGAAAGCUCCAGCGGGUCCAGGUUGAAGACUUCAUCAGUCCGGACGUACGGAAUGAAGUCCAGGACCGGGGGAGGAAGAGAGGGGGAGGCCUGCUGACCCUGCACCCUGUGUCUGACAGCAGGGACAGGAGGAGAGCGCCCCCUGGAGGAGACAGCAACAUGAAACCACGUCAGAUACACAGUUUGCUUUAAACUUUCACCUUAUUUUCUAUGAGAGAAGCAGAUUUAAUCCUUGUGUAAAUAUAAAUAAAAUGUGCUUAAAGAAGUUGA